rnacentral:rRNA from 1 species
AUACGGAGGAUCCGAGCGUUAUCCGGAUUUAUUGGGUUUAAAGGGUGCGCAGGCGGGAGAUUAAGUCGGCGGUGAAAUUUUUCAGCCCAACUGUAAAAGUGCCUUUGAAACUGGUUUCCUUGUGGGUAGAUGAAGUAGGCGGAAUUUGUGGGGUAGCGGUGAAAUGCAUAGAUAUCACGAUGAACUCCGAUUGCGCAGGCAGCUUACUAAACUUCUACUGACGCGCAGGCACGAAGGCGUGGGGAUCAAACAGGAUUAGAUUCCCUGGUAGACCACGCAGUAAACGAUGAUUACUGGCUGUUUGCGAUACAAUGUAAGCGGCUGAGCGAAAGCGUUAAGUAAUCCACCUGGGGAGUACGUUCGCAAGAAUGAGACUUAAAGGAAUUGACGGGG